GUGAGGAAUAUUGGUCAAUGGACGGAAGUCUGAACCAGCCAUGCCGCGUGCAGGAAUAAGGUCCUAUGGAUUGUAAACUGCUUUUAUUCGGGAAUAAACCUCUUUACGUGUAGGGAGCUGAAGGUACCGAAGGAAUAAGCACCGGCUAACUCCGUGCCAGCAGCCGCGGUAAUACGGAGGGUGCAAGCGUUAUCCGGAAUCAUUGGGUUUAAAGGGUCCGCAGGCGGGCUAUCAAGUCAGAGGUGAAAUCCCACAGCUUAACUGUGGAACUGCCUUUGAAACUGAUGGUCUUGAAUUAAGUGGGCGUUGGCGGAAUAUGACAUGUAGCGGUGAAAUGCAUAGAUAUGUCAUGGAACACCGAAAGCGAAGGCAGCUAACGAUACUUAUAUUGACGCUCAUGGACGAAAGCGUGGAUAGCGAACAGGAUUAGAUACCCGGGUAGUCC
rnacentral:rRNA from 1 species